rnacentral:rRNA from 1 species
CUGGCGGCGUGCCUAACACAUGCAAGUCGAACGGAGUAUUAGCUGAAAUUUCGGAUGGAAGUUGAAUACACUUAGUGGCGGACGGGUGAGUAACGCGUGGGCAACCUACCCAUAAGCGGGGGAUAACAGUUGGAAACGGCUGCUAAUACCGCAUAAACUAUAGAGGUUGCAUGACCUUAAUAGUAAAGAUGGCCUCUUAACAAUGCUAUCACUUAUGGAUGGGCCCGCGUCUGAUUAGCUAGUUGGUGGGGUAAAAGCCUACCAAGGCAACGAUCAGUAGCCGGCCUGAGAGGGUGGACGGCCACACUGGGACUGAGACACGGCCCAGACUCCUACGGGAGGCAGCAGUGGGGAAUAUUGCGCAAUGGGGGCAACCCUGACGCAGCGACGCCGCCGUGAGCGAAGAAGGCCUUAGGGUCGUAAAGCUCUGUUUUAAGGGACGAAUGUUCAUGUUAGUAACUGAGCAUGGAAUGACGGUACCUUAAGAGGAAGCCCCGGCUAACUACGUGCCAGCCGCGGC